UGGGGGAUAUUGCACAAUGGGCGAAAGCCUGAUGCAGCGACGCCGCGUGGGGGAUGAAGGCCUUCGGGUUGUAAACUUCUUUUGCUCUGAACAAGGCGCACCAUGGGGUGUGUUGAGUGUAGGGGUUGAUUAGCGCCGGCUAACUACGUGCCAGCAGCCGCGGUAAUACGUAGGGCGCGAGCGUUGUCCGGAAUUAUUGGGCGUAAAGGGCUUGUAGGUGGCUGGUUGCGUCUGUCGUGAAAGCUCAUGGCUUAACUGUGGGUUUGUGGUGGGUACGGGCUGGCUUGAGUGCAGUAGGGGAGGCUGGAAUUCCUGGUGUAGCGGUGGAAUGCGCAGAUAUCAGGAGGAAUACCGGUGGCGAAGGCGGGUCUCUGGGCUGUUACUGACACUGAGGAGCGAAAGCAUGGGGAGCGAACAGG
rnacentral:rRNA from 1 species